rnacentral:lncRNA from 1 species
GCACAGGUCUGUAACAUCCCAGCGUAUCAACUGCUGGUCCAUAAAGCACCAUUUUCCAGCAACUUCGGGAGGAUGGGAAAAACGAAGUGCCCAUCACUGACACCUGUGGCUGCCAUGUGGCUUGAGGGGUGGCUGGUGGGAGUGCUACGGCCUCCUUGAGCAACGGCACCAGCUGCCUUUGACUUGGAGUCAUCCCCUGGUCCCAGAGAGCGCUCCUUCUCCCCCUUUCCUUUCUGAACUUUCUUCUCAUAGAAAAGGGAAAAAGACACGGAACUUAAGGAAGAAGUUAAAAAGAAAUGCCCUCUGUGCGUUUUUGCUUCAGUAGAGGAAACUAGAAACUUAUGGAGGCUGGUAUAAGAAACAGAGCGAGGCAGAAACACAGAAGUUUCAGUAUUAACAUCUUUUCUUUAUUAAGCUCUUUGUUGCUGUGAAGAAAAACUGAAGACCUUUUUGAUUUGUUUGCAUUUUUAUAAGACAAUUGUGUAUCCAGUUCCCAGUCUCUAAGCCUCAUGAAUUAAGUGCAGGCAUUGCAGCAUGACGGAUCUCACAAGACAUCAUCUAGAAUCACAGGAAGACGUAAAAAUCUUACAUUUGAUUUUUCUUAAAAAUGCAUCAUUUUCUUCCAAAGCCGUAACUCUAACAGUUAUAGAGAGAAAAAUAAGGAUGUCAGCACUUUCUUUUUUCAGAAAAAGGGUACUUUUCCAAGCUCAGUUCCUGGUUUCAAAGGGACAUGACUCACAUUUUCUCGCAUGCCUGGACACGACAGAACGGUUUGGUAGGACACAGACAUGAGUGUGACAGCUUGAAAUCCCCAGUCCAUGGAAGAAGCAAUCAAUUUUCAUCUUCCUCAUUGAUGAGCUCCUCUGCAGUAUGAGGUAUCCAGACAUGAGUGUAUGUUCAAAAAUGGUGCAAAAUUAUUCUCCUAGAGUCUGCUGUUCAAACUCUUCCUCUAACCACAGCUUUCAUAUACGUCAUCCUACAGGUUAUAUAGGCCGUUUGUGUGGAAAGCCUUCAUUUCUGGCUGCCAUGUUGAAGAACCUUGGGAAGACUUGACUUCUUUCAUGCUCAUCAGUUCCAAAAACCUGACCUCCUUAGAGGAUGUCGUGGGGUGAGUGACAAAAAUAGCUCAUUGCUACUGAAAGUGCUGCCCUUGGGAGCGCUGUGAGGAAGGCAGCACGUUGGGUGCCAUGGCCAUUGGCAGCCCGGAGAAAGAGGCUGCUGGUGGCUGCAGGGCUCCUGUGCUGCUGGAAGUUGUUCACACUUGAGCCUUCCUGGGAAAGCAAGGGCAAUCUAAAUUUCUAAUGCAGCAAAACAAGCAGGAAAAAGAGAAAUCAAAGCCUACCUUCAAAGGCCCCUUUUAUGCCUCAUUAAAAAACUGAGAAAGACCCAAGUGGGGUCUAACCACUCAGUCCUUUUAAUCUCCUUAAGUCUGCUGUGGGCUUGCUUGGUUUUUUGGUUUUUUUUUCCUCCGGUUUGUCACAAACCUGUCACAGCAAUACGUGCUGACAGCCAUGCAACAACAUUGCUGAGUCCCCAGUUCUACACCAGGCAGCAUGGCCUAAUGCGGCCUGCCGCCCAGGAGCAACAAGCUCCUCUUCCCACCCACAGACACCUUCUAGCUCAGGCAGGCUGCAGACCCACUUUCUGCCCUGGACAUUUAUCCAGGUACUUAGCAGAAUUUGUUAUUUUUGCAAGCUUUGACAAUCUCUAGCAAUCUCAAAAGUGACUGUGACUCUGUAUCUGAGAAAGAAAUGGAGAAGUCUCCAGUGGGCAGUCAUGGUUUGGCUACUAUGAUAUUGAAGAGCCACACAUUCUCCUACAGCCUCUACAAGUAUGCAUCAUUUAAAAUUUAUUUGACUUCUUCCAGCUUUUUCUUUCUUUCUUUUUUUUUUUUUUUUUUUUUUUUUUUUGGACUUAUAUAGAUCUGGUUUGAUAAUUGUUUUCUUCCUUGGAAUACUUUGCCUUCACAAAAGUUCAUUUCUACUCAGAGACCAGAUGCAUCCUCUAAUAACAAUUACGUAGCACAGAGCAAUAAACCUAUUGUUUAGCCCAGUAAAUCAGGCCGUAUAAUCAGAGAAGGCAGACUGUUAUUUCUUCACUGUACAUUUGUAAUGCUUUGUUUGACUUCUUAUAGGCUCAGGCAUAUAUACAUACAUACACAAAUAUAUAUGUUUCUAUGCUUUGGGCAUGGCAAUCUGCAGAACAAAAAGAGCAGAGCCCCAUGUUAGUGAAGGGCUGCUGAUCCAGCAUGACAGUGCCCAUCCUUGUAAGUCCUGACCAUGGGGCCUCUGAGCCCCCAUCCUACAGUCCCAAGGUUGAGCAAUGGGAGGUUCACUGGUGCUGUGAAAUUGAACACCUUAGCAAGAAUGCUCCCCACGAUACAAGAAAAUGUGUCAGAGAAUAAUAGAAUAGUAGUAAAAUAGAAUAAUAGUAUAAUAGAACUCUUCAUUAGAAGGACCCAUAGAGUUCACCUAGUCCAGCUCCCUUGCAAUGAACGGGGACACCAACAGCUAGAUCAGGUGCUCAGAACCCCGUCCAGCCUGGCCUUGAAUGUCUCCUGGAAAAAGGCAUUCACCACUCUCUGGGCAACCUGUUCCAGUGCUUCACCACCCUUACUGUAAAAAACUUCUUUAUUAUACCCAGUCUAAAUCUCUCGUCUUUUAGUUUGAAGCCAUUUCCCCUUGUCCUAUCACAGCAACUAAAUAGUGUGUCACCCCCAUUAAAUGCAUUUCUCAGGGUCACGUCUCUCUGGGGCACUCCUGGAUGAGUGGCUCUUUAUCUUGCAGGCUUCCAGCACAAGAACUAGCUCAGCUAAGUCUUUUCUCGUAUAAAUAGCCUGUUGGCACAUAAACCAUGCUCAGGGGCUGCAUUCUACCAAUAAAUUCUGGUUUCUGCUCUGAACAUCCACCUAUCCCUUCAGCAACAAGUCUUCCAACCAUGCUUUUUCACAACAGCCUUCACUCUUGCCUUGCAGCUGUCUGUUGCAAUGUUAUACUGUGGGAAUAGGAUGUAUCUAGUUUUAUGUUUGGCAGUCGGCACUGCAGAAGGUCCCUGACAUCCGUAUUCUGACUCCUGCAAUGGUACCUGUAGUAGGCUACCAGCACUUGUUGUUCUGUCCCUUGAACGUGCCCCACUGUUUAAAUUCUUCCUGUGCAAUCUUCAUUUCCCUCCCCUAUAGCUUAUAGCUGCAUGGGUAACUAUUAAUAGCACAUUGCUGCACUGGAAAUGCAGAGCCUGGGGUACGAAGAACUGAGAGCUUUUGACACUUUACCAAAAGCCGGUCCAGGCUGUCCCCUUAUCAAAAGUGCCAUCCCACUGCAGUUUACAUGGUGUGCCCAGCUGCAUGUGCAAAUCAUAUCAGCACAAGUCCCGUGGGCUCUGUCAAGGAGCUGGGCAGCAAAGCCUCACUCUGCAUCAGUCUGGCUGCCCUCUGCCCUGCAGAUAGGAAGCCUCAGCUCCCAGAGCCUGAAAACUCUGUCAGGUUACCGACAAAGAGGAAAAGGCACUGGGGAGUCAAGAGAUUCAGGCUUGUUUCCCAGAUUUGAAACAGUUGUCUCUCAUGGCCUUGUGCAAAAUGCUUUUUCUCCACUCCCUCCGGGUCCUUAUCAGGAAAACUGGAACAGCAGCUUCUCGACUCCCUUCUGUCCUGCCUGCCCCGGUGCUAAUGGGAAGAGUUUUGCUGAACGUGGUAGAGCACAGCCCAGCACAAGGAGUUCUCACAAGGGCAGUGAUGGGCCCACGUCCUAAACACCACCAUAAGCAACCAGGUUAGGAGCCAACAUUCCCUGCUUAAUAUCAAACUCUGCUUUUUCUGAUAAUGUGGUAUAUGCAGAGAUUGUAUUCUGCACUGAAAAGCUGCCCUGGGGUUGUGAGAGAUGUGCAGCCCUGUAGCCUCAGGAUGCUCUAGGUUCUCUGUCAGGUUUUUAUGGGAACACAGCAGGCGUGGUUUAUAUGGGUACAGAGCAUGUCUAGGAGGAGCAUGGCAUUCACAUGGUGAUGUGGGACACCAGCAGUAGAGCUUGCAGGGCUGCACACCUCUGUGGUGCCCACUGACCCUACUCAUAUAUUCCCAGACCCUUGAGGAGAACAUCAUCGAGUUCCUAAUUCUUUUGGAUGUCUGCAGACCUCAUAUAAGAAAUUACAGUGCAAAUAUCCCAGGGUGAUUUUCCUGCCUGGAAACCUUCCAGGUUUUUAGCACGUGAGUUUCGUUUCAUACUGGUAAGCAUGCAGCUCUUCGUAUCUGGCAGCACUCCGAGCUGAAACACCGCUGUGGGAGAAGAGGACUUUCUUUUUGCCUUUGGUAUUUAUGUCAAGGGAUACUUCCCUGGGCCAGCUACUGGGGGAAUACUUUUGGAGGAAGUGACUGACCUGUGUAGUGCCUGCCUAUGUUGGUGGUGGCAAUGGCACCUUGCUCUGAAAAGUGUGGCUCCUCACAGCGAGAAAGACAUUAAAACCCUGGAGUGUAUCCAGACAAAGACAACAAAGCUGUGAAGGGUCUGGAGCACAAGUCUUAUUGGGGAGCAGCUGAGGGAACUGAGAUUGUUCAGGCUGAAGAAGAAGAGGCUCAGGGGAAACCUUAUUCUCCACAACUGCCUGAAAGGAGAUUGUAGUGAGGUGAGGAUUGGCCUCUUCUCUCAGGUAACCGUGAUAGAACUAGAGGGAAUGGCCCCAGGUUGUUCCAGGUGAGGUGGACACUCUCUUCUCAGAAAGAGUGGUGAUGCAGUGGCACAGGCUGCCCAGGGAGGUGGUGGAGUCACUGUCCCUGGAGGUGUUCAAGAACCAUGUAGAUGUGACACCGAGGGAUGUAGUUAAUGGGCACGGUGGGUUGACAGUUGGACCAGAUGAUCUUAAUGGUCUCUUCCAACCUUAAUGAUUCAAUGAAUUCCAUGUUUCUACGAUUCCAUGAAGGUUGAUCACCUCCUAUGUGUCCAGUGUCUCCGCCACGGUGAGCUGCAAGGUGCAAACUUCUACAAGGGCUCAAUGCAGCAACAGCAGAAAUUGCCCCAAAAAGCAGUGUUUCAAAGAGUCUUUUGCAUGUUGGAAUUUUACAAAUCUCCAAUGAGGAAAAAAAACUCUUCAUGGUGAUGUGCCAGGCUGGGCUGCAGCCAGCAGACCUGGAGCGGGAGCAGCUGGGUGGCAGAGCAUGGUGGGAGCACUGCAGCCAGGAGCCUUCACUGCAGACUCACUCACAUACUGCAGCCCUUUGGAGAGGAUCAUCUGCAUAAUUACAAGGAUCACAAAUUCUGCACUUCCCCUAUCAGUGAGCGUUUUCCUUUUGGGUACAGUAUGUUCCUGCAGAUUCCAACGAUAAACUGUCCUAAUGGUCUUUGCAGUCAUUUGAUGUAGCUACAUAAAAAUGUCCUAGCACUGCGCUGGAAGGCAGCUCCCCUCCGCGUGGAUCUGCAUGGGAACAGGGUGUGUGCAGCACGUCCCAUCCACGGGUAAGCUAAUCCUCUCUGCAGAUAAAACUUGCCAGCAAAACCUAGCCUGAAAAAGUAGUUACCGGGGUUGUUUAUUUUUCAAAGGAUGGAUAAAAUUUCAGAGCGAUAAAAUCACUUCCUUGAAAUGCUUUCAUUCAAAUAAUUUACUUCCUUCUGGAAGGCUUAAUCUUUCCUUUGCUGAACCUUUUUUUGUUUUUUUUUUUUCUUUUAAUUUUUGCUCCUUCCCCAGCAGGGCAGAGCUGGGCCAAUGUGCAGCUGUGAGCGUGAGCGCGGUGAGCGGGCAGCACGUGCCGUGCCAGCUGUGCCCAACGCGCACCGGCAGCCCUCCAGCAAACGUCCCAUUGUGCUGUGCAUGCUUACUGGAAAGUGGCUUUGCGAGCAGAGCUAUUUCAACCAGCUGCUGGGGAACUUCAUGGAGUGCUGCAGGACCUCAGCGCACAGAGGUUGUCAUGCUGUGACCUGGGGGAGAACAAUGAGGGAAGCACAAAGGUUACCCAGAAAGUUGGUCAAUGGAGAAAGAAGGGCUGAGCCUCUUGCUGCAGCCUGCAGGACAUGGGGACGUCGCACCCAGCUCUCUCUGCACAGCAGGUUUGUUGCAGCCUCUUGUAUGGGCGGUGUCCUUCAGCUGGGGUUUAACUGGUGGCAAGGCCUAUUGUUCACACUGGGCAGAAACCAGAACAUAGGGGAAAUUCGCCCCAGAACCCAGUCGUUCUGAAGAAUGUAGACUCCUCUGCAAACAAUGACAGGCAGGGUGAGAGGAGGAGGAGGGUUCAGCUCCCCAUGAGCAAAGAAAGCAUGGUGAUCACUCAUGCUGAUGUGUACAGGGUGCUGCAGGUCUGUCUGGCAGGGCUGUGUCUGUGAAUGCAGAUUUAUACCACAGCCUAGAUGUAUCACAGUAUAUAUAAUGCAAGUUUAUAUCACAAGCGUAGAUGUAAUGAAGGAUAGGAAAAGGAAGAGAUUAAUGGUCUUCUGUCCCCCAUAUUAGCCGCCAGGCACUAAUACCUCUUGGGUAAAUACAGUGGCCCUGCUAGACACCUUCUCCUGGCCUCUGUAGGUCAUAGAGUUGUAGAAUAAUUAAGGUUGGAAAAGACCUAUGAGAUCAUUUAGUCAAACCAUCAGCCCAUCCCCACCAUGCCCGCUAACCACGUUCCCUCAGUGCCACAUCUACACAGUUCCUGAACACCUCCAGGGACAGUAAUUCCACCACCUCCCUGGGCAGCCUGUGCCACUGCCUCACUGCUCGUUCUGAGUAGAAAUUCUUCCUAAUAACCAAUCUGAACCUCCUCUGAAACAACUUGAGGCCAUUAUCUCUCAUCCUAUCACUGUUACCUGAGAGGCCAACUCCCACCUCACCACAACCUCCUUUCACGUCACUGUGAAGUGUGAUGAGGUCUCCCCUGAGCUUCCUCUUCUCCAGACCAAACAAUCCCAGUUCUCUGAGCCACUCCCCAUAAGACUUGUGUUCCAGAACCUUCACAGCUUCACUGCUCUUCUCUGGACGUACUCCAGGGCCUCAAUGCCUUUCUUGUAGUGAGGGGGCCCAAAACUGAAUACAAUACUCAAGGUGCAGCCUCCCCAGUGCCAAACAGGAAUGACCUGAAGCUGCUUAUAUCUAUUUUUGGAUUGUCUGCUAGCCCAUUUCCUAGUACUCCCAAGACACCCAGCAUGCAGAGCAUCAUAUAGAUCUAAGAGAUAGAAAGAAAAAUGAACAAAAGGUGAAGAAGUUGAAUUAUACCUACAAAAGGUUAAGAGGAUUUGUCAGGGCUGGCAUCGAGUCAGUUUCUAUCACCAUAAUUCCAGCAAUGUAAGUCCUAGCUGGGCUUGGGUCCGUUGCUGACACACUGUGACAGCAGGGCACCGCUGACCACUAAGCAACUCUCAUGUGUCCUUUUUUGUUCAUAUUGGUAUUGACAUUGUUGGUUUUAUGCUUUUAUGAACUGGAUGGACGGAGAUGGAGAAAGCUGCAGUAGAGAAUCAAAUGCAGUGUGAACUAAAGUAAAUAGAAAAGCACUGGAACAAGUUGUGCAGAGAGGUGGUGAAUGCCCCAUCCCUGGAGACAUUCAAGACCAGGCUGGAUGGGGCUCUGAGCACCUGAUCAAUCUGUAGGUGCCUCUGUUUAUUGCAGAGGAGUUGAGCUUGAUGACUUUUAAAAGUUCCUUCUAACUCAUACGAUUCUAUGAUUCUGCAUCUUCAUGAGGCAAAAGCAGAUUCUGGGGCCUUUUGGAAGACCAGGUAUUCAUCCUGCAUCCCAAGGGGAGGACAGCACAGUAAUCCUUGAGAAGCAAGAGCUGCUCUUGGAGGGACUGCAUUGCAUCAGCUUUGAUGGCCUGAGGGUAUAACUGAGGCAAAGCCUACAGGGAGAGGUAAUACCUGUCAGCAGAUCAGCUAAGUACAAUUGAGAAAAAACAGCACAUAAGCCUCCUGUGGGUACAUUCUCCAUCAGGCACUCAUUGUAUAAUAUAAAUUGGCUUAAUAUAAAUUACAUUAGGCGGAUGAGGUAUAAGUGCCUGAUGGAAUGAUGGCGGGCAAUUGGCUCUGAGCAAAGGCAGUAAGAUUCAGUCGUAGCAUUGAUGGUCAAAAGAUGGAAGCUGGGCAAGGGUGCAGGGAGAGGUGAUACUGUGCAAUCCAAAUAAAUAAGUGCACUGUGCAGCCAGGUAUGGGGUCUGGUCUGUCAUCUCCUGUUCCAAAACCGCAUAAGGUUUGCUGCUGUUUCCAUUCCAAGACCUUCUUCUAUUAAGUACUAGAAAUGCAAAAUGAAAUCAAUCAUAAUACAAAUGGGUAGCUACAGGUUAGGUGAUUUCUCUGUUAGUUUUUUUGUCUUCAGUAGCUUUUCAACAAAGCUCUGUAUCAACAGACCCAAGCAUGCUUAAAAUAGAAAUUCGUCAUUUUUCAAGUAAAACAGGUAAGCCACCUCAUGUGUUUCUGCAGAUGAAAAAUACAGAACUAAAGGAAGUGGUUUGUCCAAAGCCUCAGGGCAAGCUUGUGGCAGAGUCUGAGAGGAAACCUGAGGCUUCCUCAUGCCCUGCAUGCUAUUUGGCCAUCUGCCCUUCUCCUCUGGGAGACACAGUGACCUGCACAGAAUGCAAGACCUCCCAGAGCACCCACAGAGUGGUUUCCUAUGUGAAACUCCAUGUAAAACUCUUGGCCUUUCAGGAAUUAGGAGAUCUGCAAGAAAAAUGAGAAAUAAUUCAACCAGCCUAUGGCAUGGGAAAUCCAUCCUCUCCGUCUUCUGAUGUCACAUAAGUCUGAGCCUUGCUCUCAUCAGCUCCAGUUUCUCACCACUUAAGCACUACGAAACCAUGAAACAGGAAUGUUAUUAGGAUAAAUCCACACAUAAUUGAGUGGAAGCCGUCACUAUACUGUAUACGGCGUGGUUACCUCAACGUAUAACAAUAAGAUCCAUAGCACUAAAGUCUUUCAAAAAAAGGUAGAUUUCAGAUUUUAUUUCUGUGUUGACAUUAUCUCAUUCAUUUCAGUUCUGACUUUCCUCCCAUUUCCCUGUGCUGACCUUCCACCAGGAUUGACUGGUAGCCCGUGUCCACUGGCUGCACUAUUUGUACAGUAGUUGUCUCCUUUGGAUUUCUUACUUCUUUCAGCAGCAUGAUGAAAAUGCAACUUUGUGGCCUGCAUGACAAAGAAUUUCCCAAAACCUCUGGAUUUAAUAAUAAUAAUUAAAAAACCCUACAAAAGUCCUUCCAGAACACUAAAUGAUUUUUUUUCUGAGGGAGAUUUCUUUCCAAAAAAUGUUCCCACACCUCCCGUAGCCCAGACCCUCCAUUCACAGAGCUCAAAACCCACAGUCAUUCCUACUUCGGUGCAAUUACCACAGUGUAAAAUUAUACCUAUGAAGUUUGAGCUCUUAUAAAAAUAACAAGCCUUUCUUUCCCCACAUAAAGCAAAGAAAAGCAAAGGCAGGAAAGGACAUGAUAGGAGCUCUGCUGAAUUAGACAAAUACCUUUGGCAGCAAACAAUGUCUGGGAAUGGAGGAUGUUCUUUCUCAGCAAAAGAAAGACAACAAAACUUUGUUUGCGAUGAUAGAUUUGCACAUCUCUUCAAAGCCACUGAACUCUGCCCAGCUUCGUCCUUGAGAUGGGCAAAAGAAAUCCCUGGAGAAGCUCAUGGAAGCCACCUUAGCCAUGGACAAAAAUGGACAGUGCAGGAGUAGCACCAGUGAGAAGCAUAGCAAAGCUUCUGAAAGCAGAGAGCGGAGCAGCCAACUAGUAAACAGACUAGAGCUAAGUCCUUGAAAAAUGAACGUAGGUCUAAGUUCUGUCCACCUCCGAGUCUAACUCCCAUCAUCCUGUCCACGUGCACUGGUUUGGUGCCCUUGGAAAUGAACUCUUCCUACAUCUUCCAAUCCCUGAAUGUUAAUUACUAUAAGUAUUCAUUAUUGCCAGUCGAAGAUCAGUUCAUCAUUAAAGGUAGUUAAAUGGACUGUAAGUAGAUGUGGCCAGCAGCAUUUCCUUUGCACCAUGAAGGCACAAGAGAACAAUUAUUGUUGCUCCUCAGGCCCGUGUAAGCAGAGCCAAAGGGACUUUGAGGGAAUCCCCAGGCAAAGACAGAGCCCGGGGAGAUCUUGUAACCAGUGCCGGACCAAAAACUGCACUUGAAGUUCAGAGCCCUGAGAGAAGUUGAAAAAAUAUCGCUCUGCAUCAGUUGAGAAGUGGGAGACCACAAUCUGCAGGACAGCACUUGCAGGGCAGAGUAACCCAAAUGUUGUGUAUAGGGCUGUUUGGAGUUGAUAUGCAUUUUUACCCACUCAGUCAGAUCAGACCAAAGAACUUGAAUUCAGGACUGAGUCACCAGCCUGGCUUCUAAAGUACUCAAGCAGGAUGUCAGUGGUGGAUACAACCACAAAGAGAGCAGCUGCCAUCUUGUGUCACCAACCAUGGUGUUAAUUGAGACGAAUGGCAAAAGCCCAUUCAGUGCACUACAGUAAACCUGCCCCUGUGAGAUUGCCAAGGCAAUCUCACGCCAAGUGCUUGCUGCGGCAUUUCUUCCUUGUGCAGAAAGGCCUGUGGUGGGGGUCACAACCCUGGCUGAUCUACUCUCCUCCUAUUUCUUUAUGGCAUCACCAGGGCAGUGGGAGAGAGCUGUUUACUUGGUAGCAUAGAGGCCAUCCCAAGGCUUAAUGGAAACAUGAAAAGCCCAGCACUGCUCAGUAAAGGCAAGGGAUUUCCAUCCCAAGGCCCCUCCAGGCAUUUUCCUGAUCAGCAGAAGCAUGGCCAAGCAUGCAGACACCCAAACUGAGCAUCACUGCAGCAAGCCGGCACGCACCACUAAGCACAUUGGACAUGGUAGCUUCAAAAAAAAAAAAAAAACACUUUUAAACAACCAACGCUGUGAACUUCAAUGAGCCUCAGAGCAGCACUCAGUAGCCCUUUGUCUGUGGCAGACAAAAGGUAGAGGUAUUGGUGUGCAAGCCUUGGCAAUUGGAAAAUAGUUCAUGCUAGGGGGAGCAAAAAGUGAGGAAGCACUGGUUGUGAGUGAUUAAAACAUGGUGCUCUCUGAAAGGGUAUGAAAAGUGACAGCCCUAAUGCAUCAACUGCUGCACCUGAAAAUCACUAGCUGAGAACAUAAUCGCAAGGCAAAGCAAUUAAUGCUGAGCAGCAUCUGCCACACAAAGACCCUCACUGCACUUAAUGGAAAGAAGGAAAAAGACACUGAAAAAAAGAACCCACAAAAUAGCAGUCUGGUUGAAGGUAAGAGCGGUCAUAAAUGACAGCAGCAGCAGAAGGACCAUAUCAAACAGGAUUUUGAUUGUGCAGCAAGCAGCAGCAGCUGGUUGAGUGGCUGAAAGGCAACGAGGGCACAUGCUGGUGUUAGUGACAGGGACUUGCCAGGGAGAUGUGUUAUCCUCAGCGAGCUGAUCAACAUGCAGGCUGUGCUGUCCUGGUCUAUUGUGUGAUCUUGAGGAAGACAUCUCACAUGCUUUAGUUUCCCGAUGGGAAAGAGUUGUCACAAGGUCAUUGGGUCUGUAGAGCACUUUGUGAUGCUCGAUGGAAAGAAGAUUGAUGAGGACUGGAACUAGUCGGUGUCUGAGAGCAUUUAUGUCCACCUGCGCCUAUUCCUGCCCACCUCCAGGCAGAGUUGGCCUUCCAGCAGUGGGACAGCCAAGAGUACUCUGCCUCUGGUUGCUGCCCCACAUUAGAAGCCCAGCUGAACCUGUUUUUCUUUUGGUGAAUGCAAUUGUAACCCUCAUACCCAAACCUGCACUGAGGUAGGUGAUGAGAUGAAAUGAGAUGUCUUGGUUACCAGAAUGUGCAGGUAAGCAAGGUUGUCCUGGAGUCCCACCUUUCCCAGUGCUCCCUAUUUCCAAGACUCUGGUCUCUCAUCUACAAAAACUCCCUGGCUUUUCUAUAUUUUCACCCCAAAUACCCUUCAUUCCUUUGCCUCUGAUUCUGGAUGGCUAAUUUUAAGUGUGGGCUACAUGUGUCCAAUAACCAUAGGUACACACACAACUCCUGGCAGAGUCUUUAUAGCUACCACCAGAAACCACCACUCCCUGGCUGUAGACAUGCACCUUUGCUCCACUCCUCGCAACCAAGUUCAGAUCCCCAGAGGGAAGAUCUAAAUCACAGAAUCAUAGAAUCAUUAAGGUCUGAAAAGACCAUUAAGAUCAUUU